rnacentral:rRNA from 1 species
AUACGUAGGGGGCGAGCGUUGUCCGGAAUGAUUGGGCGUAAAGGGCGCGUAGGCGGCGCGGUAAGUCUGGAGUGAAAGUCCUGCUUUCAAGGUGGGAAUUGCUUUGGAUACUGCCGCGCUUGAGUGCAGGAGAGGUUAUCGGAAUUCCCGGUGUAGCGGUGAAAUGCGUAGAGAUCGGGAGGAACACCAGUGGCGAAGGCGGGUAACUGGACUGCAACUGACGCUGAGGCGCGAAAGUGUGGGGAGCAAACAGGAUUAGAUACCCUGGUAGUCCACACUGUAAACGAUGAAUGCUAGGUGUAAGAGGUAUCGACCCCUUUUGUGCCGGAGUCAACACAAUAAGCAUUCCGCCUGGGGAGUACGGCCACAAGGUUGAAACUCAAAGGAAUUGACGGGG